GUCGGGUCCCCGCGCGGUGGUACCUCGCCCAACUCCCCCAGGGCCGGAAGGCAGCAAGGGUCAGUGAGCUCUGUCAGGUGCGCGGGGGCCCUUGCAC
rnacentral:SRP_RNA from 1 species